rnacentral:sRNA from 1 species
UGUCCGCUUUAAAUAUUCAACUUCAGUUUUUGUUAUGAAAUGCUAGUUAGCUUUGAUAGCAACAGCAGAGUCGUUUCGGGUGAAGUGUAGACUCAUUGACUAAAAGGAGUAAGAUUUCGAUUUUUUUUUUUUUUUUUUCAUUGGAAAAAGUAAAUUGUCUAUCUCCCUCCCAGGCCUCUGGACAACUGCCGCCGCACCCCAUCUAUCUGCAAACAACAAAGCAACGCAACGCACGAGAAGAACGAAAAAUUAACCGGUCCACCCCGCCCCGCGGCGCGAAGCGCCAGCGCCGUCCCGCUUAACUGACACACACACUCACACACACACACAAUGGCAACCACCGCCACCUACUCCUCCACCGCGCAGAUCCCCUUCCUCUCCCCGGCCGAGCUCUCCUACUUACACACCUCCCUCUCCUACCCGCACAACCCAAUCCGCACAGAUGGGCGCGCCGCAACGCAGUUCCGCCCACUAACGGCGGAGACGGAUAUUCUCCCGGGUGCCAACGGGAGUGCGCGCAUUGGAUUUGCGGAUGGGACGCAGGCGAUUGUCGGGGUUAAGGCCGAAGUGGAG